GUUGUCUCCAGUCCUGAAACCCUCGCCCAGGGCCGCUCCGCCGCCGGGCUCCGGCGCUCAGCCCAUAUCACCCGGGGAAAGGCCGGCGCCUCCGUCCGACCCUCUUUCCUGUCGCUGGGGGCGGUUUGUGGGCCUGGCCUUGGGAUUAGGAAAAUAGGGAUGGUGCUAUAACGGCCGAAUGCGGGCCUCAGGGAAUCCCGAAAGGGGGAAUGUCUGGGUCGGCGGAUCGGGGGGCUUGAGAGGGCCCGCUCCGUGGGACGUUCAGGCCCCGGAACCGGCCCCCGCAUGGUCGCCGCUCCGGCCCGGGCGGGCGCAGCGCUGGCAGCCCCGUUUUCCGCCAGCCGGGCUGCCGGAGAGUUAGACCUCCCAGCCUCACGGGGCUGCUGUGCGGCUGCGACGACGCCGGCGACUGCGGCGCUGCAGCGGAGACGGAAGGCUCGGGAGGCGGCGCCAUUUGCAGAGUGGGCAGGAUCUUACGACCCGAUAGGUGCAGAACCCAUCUGGACACGGAGACCAGGAAUGGGGUUCCAUGGAGGCCUGGCUGGCACUGCACCUGGGC
rnacentral:sRNA from 1 species